rnacentral:rRNA from 1 species
GACAGAGGAUGCAAGCGUUAUCCGGAAUGAUUGGGCGUAAAGCGUCUGUAGGUGGCUUUUUAAGUCCGCCGUCAAAUCCCAGGGCUCAACCCUGGACAGGCGGUGGAAACUACCAAGCUGGAGUACGGUAGGGGCAGAGGGAAUUCUCGGUGUAGUGGUGAAAUACGUAGAUAUCGAGAAGAACACCAAUAGCGAAAGCACUCUGCUGGGCCGAAACUGACAUUGAGAGACGAAAGCUAGGGGAGCGAAAGG